AUGUAAUGUAAUGCCUACAAUGUUAAUGCACUAGAUCCCAUUAGAACUCUGCACUUAAGCGCACUUGGGCUAGAGUAGUAAUGGGAUGGGUGACCUCCUAGGAAGUCCUAAUGUUUUACAUG
rnacentral:rRNA from 1 species